rnacentral:lncRNA from 1 species
GUUGUGGCAGCUCGGUGCGGAGCUCGAGGUGGAAGUGGGAGAAGGCCAAAUUAGGCAUGGGAGGCCAUCGAUUUAUAGAAAGGGGGUCUAGGGUUAAGUUUGAGGGGGGUUGGGGCGUUUUCGAGCCCUUCGAUCUCGAUCGGACGGCUCCGAUUGUGCCCUAGGGUUAGAUAUACUUAGGUGGGCUGGUUGGGCUGUGUGGGGGAAGAUUGUGGAUUGAGAUGAGAGGGAAGUUUGCGGCCCGACACAAAGUUUGUAAAACCGAAGAACGUCCGACGAAUAAAUCGAU